AAUAUGCCUUCACAGCCCUUUUUAUUUUUCCCAUACUUUGGCAAAAGACUAUCCCUUUGUAGAUUUUUAAGAUUUGAAAUGAUGGUUGUUGUUAUAAUUUUCCUUGCUCUUCUGUUAAAGAAGCACGCCUUGACUGCUGCUGCUGGUGGAUUGACGUUUGAUAUCGUCAAUCUUGGAGCCAAGCCGGAUGGUAAGACCGAUGCCUCUCAUGCGUUGCAGUCUGCAUGGGCUCGUGCAUGCUCCUCUACAGUUGCGUCUACCGUUUAUGUGCCCAAAGGAAGAUUCUACGUUCAAAGUGGUAACUUUAUUGGACCUUGUAACUAUAAUUCUAUCACCUUUCUCAUCAACGGCACACUUGUGGCUUCUUCGAAUUUUAAGGUUCUGGCCAAAUCAAGAACCUGGAUUUCUUUCUCACGUAUAAAUGCACUUUCCAUUUAUGGUGGCAUUCUUGAUGGCCAAGGAACUACCUUGUGGGCUUGCAAAAACUCAGGGAUCAACACUUGCUCUCUUGGCGCAACAACGUUGGAAGUUUCAGAUUCACAGAAUAUAUUGAUCAAUGGAUUAUCUUCAGUUAACAGCCAAAUGUAUCACAUUGUUGUGUAUGACUGUCAAGACGUGAAGAUUCAAGGAGUGAAAGUCUUAGCUGCCAGCAAUAGCCCCAACACUGAUGGCAUUCAUGUGGAGAGAUCAUCAAAUGUUACCAUUCUCAAUUCAAACAUUCGCACCGGGGACGACUGCAUCUCAAUUGGCCCUGGGACUUCCCAUUUAUGGAUGGAAAGACUUGCAUGUGGACCUGGACAUGGAAUCAGCAUUGGGAGUUUGGGGAAAUGGUGGGAAGAGGCUGGAGUGGAAAAUGUGACAUUAAAAAACAGCUCAUUUCAACGGAACAAUGAAUGGAGUGAGGAUUAAAUCUUGGGGAAGGCCCAGCAAUGGGUUUGCAAAGAACAUUCUUUUUCAACACAUUGUUUUUGACAAUGUCAACAACCCUCUCAUCAUUGAUCAAAAUUACUGCCCACAUAACCAAGGCUGCCCCGGUCAGGUAAAGAUUAGUAAUGUAAGAUAUGAAGACAUCCAUGGAACGUCAGCUACUGAAGUAGGUAUAAACUUUGAGUGUAGCCCUGCAAGGCCAUGCAACGAAAUAAGAUUGAAAGAUGUAAAGUUGAUAUUCAAGGAUCAAAUUGCCCAAGCAUCGUGUGAAUAUGCAACAGGAACUACCUUAGGGUCUAGUUCAACCUUCUAAUUGCUUAGUAUAGCAAAUGUAAUUCACUUUAGGUUCAACAAUAUCAGUAUUGGGCAUUGAAUGUAAUUUUCAUAUCUAGAAUUGGAAAGAUGUAAGGUGUUAGAAUCAAUUCCUCACUAUAUUCAUUUUGACCAAAAUAAGCUUUAAAAUAAUAUAUGAGGUCUAUGUCACUUAUGUAUCUUAUCAUUACCUUCUCAUGUUUUAUAUACUUUUAAAUGUCUAAAUUAUACUACGCUUCAUUUAAUUA